rnacentral:rRNA from 1 species
AGCAGCCGCGGUAAUUCCAGCUCCAAUAGCGUAUAUUAAAGUUGUUGCAGUUAAAAAGCUCGUAGUUGAAUUUCGGGGUCAGUAGGUUGGUCAUGCCACAGGUAUGUACUGAUCUUACUGAUUCCUCCUUCCUGAUGAACCGUAAUGCCAUUAAUUUGGUGUUGCGGGGAAACUGGACUGUUACUUUGAAAAAAUUAGAGUGUUUAAAGCAGGCUAACGCUUGAAUACAUUAGCAUGGAAUAAUGAAAUAGGACGUUCGAUCCUAUUUUGUUGGUUUCUAGGAUUGACGUAAUGAUUAAUAGGGAUAGUUGGGGGCAUUAGUAUUCAAUUGUCAGAGGUGAAAUUCUUGGAUUUAUUGAAGACUAACUACUGCGAAAGCAUUUGCCAAGGAUGUUUUCAUUAAUCAAGAACGAAAGUUAGGGGAUCGAAGACGAUCAGAUACCGUCGUAGUCUUAACCAUAAACUAUGCCGACUAGGGAUCGGAUGAUGUUAAUUUUUUAAUGACUCAUUCGGCGCCUUACG